rnacentral:rRNA from 1 species
GAGGACCGCUGGCGGCGUGCCUAACACAUGCAAGUCGAGCGAAGCGCUUUACUUGAAUUCUUCGGAAGGAAAGUAUUGUGACUGAGCGGCGGACGGGUGAGUAACGCGUGGGUAACCUGCCUCAUACAGGGGGAUAACAGUUAGAAAUGACUGCUAAUACCGCAUAAGACCACAGCACCGCAUGGUGCGGGGGUAAAAACUCCGGUGGUAUGAGAUGGACCCGCGUCUGAUUAGCUAGUUGGUAAGGUAAGGGCUUACCAAGGCGACGAUCAGUAGCCGACCUGAGAGGGUGACCGGCCACAUUGGGACUGAGACACGGCCCAAACUCCUACGGGAGGCAGCAGUGGGGAAUAUUGCACAAUGGGGGAAACCCUGAUGCAGCGACGCCGCGUGAGUGAUGAAGUAUUUCGGUAUGUAAAGCUCUAUCAGCAGGGAAGAAAAUGACGGUACCUGACUAAGAAGCACCGGCUAAAUACGUGCCAGCAGCCGCGGUAAUACGUAUGGUGCAAGCGUUAUCCGGAUUUACUGGGUGUAAAGGGAGCGUAGACGGAGAGGCAAGUCUGAUGUGAAAACCCGGGGCUCAACCCCGGGACUGCAUUGGAAACUGUUUUUCUAGAGUGUCGGAGAGGCAAGUGGAAUUCCUGGUGUAGCGGUGAAAUGCGUAUAUAUUGGGAGGAACACCAGUGGCGAAGGCGGCUUGCUGGACGAUGACUGACGUUGAGGCUCGAAAGCGUGGGGAGCAAAAAGGAUUAGAUACCCUGGUAGUCCACGCCGUAAACGCCCACAUCGAGGUGUCGGGUGGCAAAGCCAUUCGGUGCCGCAGCAAACGCAAUAAGU